rnacentral:sRNA from 1 species
UUGCGUUACCGAUUGAAGUGACAUCCUUUUUAAUUGUCGCUUCGAGUAAUUCUGCUUUUCGCAGAAUUGUAUCGAGAACAAAAUUAAAAAGAUAUAACGAAAAGCGGGAUAUUUC